GAAGAGAAAACCUUGAGAAUUACAAUUUUAUUUUUUUUUUCUGCAAAAUGUUGUGGAGAAAGGCUGUGAAGCACAUCUUUCCUGAUGGAUGCUGUCUGCGAUGUUGGAAAUGUCUUCAGAGUUGGGAUUUGAACUGGACCUCCCACCAUCCCUGGACACGCAAUCCUCACUGAUGGGUCUGAUUCAGUCUUACAGUUUCGGUGUCUCAAACAAACGUCAGCACCUUUGCAACGAGCACACUGACAAGUGGAUGAGACAAGCAAGUGGGCUGGAGAAGACAUCUGCCUCCAUUCUCCUGAUGUACCUUGAGGACCUACAUCUGGAGAAAUUAAGUGAAACAAGGAUUUGAGAAUCAGCACUUGUGGAAAUCAAGAAGAUAAACCUUGUACUGAGAAAUGCAGAAUUGCUGAAGAUUUGUUGUCCAUGGAUUUGGAACCUUAAUCUUCCUACCAGUCAAUCCUUGUCCUGAGGAUCAAACCUGUGUUUCCUGUGUGCUUGAAGAAGAUAUACGAGUGUGAUGAAGUAUCAGCAUCACUCAGCAGGACCUGUUGAGGAGCCAGUGCUUGGGGUUGGCCCAUGACAGCAUUGAUUCAUCCUUUUAAAAUCUA